AGUUGAUUCGAGCGUUCUAACCACACAACAGCAGUCAAGCACCCAAAGCUAGCUACUUCCAGACACAAAUUAGAGAACACUUCACUCUGAUCAUUUUACUUUACUCGCCCUAGCAGAGGCUAGGGCUGUUGUCAUGUUAUCCAGAGCGCUGGUGUCUGUAACUAUGCUGCUGGCAACCAUUUAAUUGUGUUUUUUUGCCGACGUUUACUGAUACCGGCCAUAUUCUACGGGUGUUGAGCAUUCGUAAAUUUAUCAUUUACUCUGAAAUUGGAUUAAAUAGCCAGAGCGAAUAUACGAACGCACCCUACAUGAACAGCUGAGCAUGCGUGAACUCCUUGAAGGUUCAUUAUGUUUUAGCAAUAUCCCAAGUUACCACAGGAACAAAGUAAAAAUGGCCGUAAAAAUAUAUGAAAACUAAAAACAGCUUUUUGGUCUUACGGGUACAGUUAGGCAUAAUAUUAGCACUGUGGUUAUGAUUAUAUUUCAAUAAGAUAAAUAGGCGGGGUUUAGUCAUAAAUAUGACUUUGUGGCUGUGGUAAUGAGCGGAGACUCGACAUUUUUUUUUGACGGUGUAGUUGCUGGUUAUUAUCACAAAUUAUCCCUAUUUUAAGUAUCUUAACUAAUAUGAGGUAGAUAGCAAGCUCGUUUUGCAGUUAAAUUGGAAGCGAACGCAACUACAAUCCCAGCUAUAAGCUGCCUGCCUCUUUGUAGAGUUACUGUGACAAAUGCUGAUGUCAAAAUGGCUUUAUAAAUACAUUUCAUUGAUAGAGAGACAUCUGAGACAGCUCAGACUUGCUGGACACACCGCUCUCUGGCAUCAUUUACAAAAUAGUCUCUAACACUCUACUCAGCAAACCGUAUGUAGUCUAUCACAAGGCCAUCCGUUUUGUCACCAAAGCCCCAUAUACUACCCACCACUGCGACGUGUAUGCUCUAGUUGGCUGGCCCUCACUACAUAUUCGUCGCCAAACCCACUGGCUCCAGGUCAUCUGUAAGUCUUUGCUAGGUAAAUAUUCGCCUUAUCUGAGUUCACUGGUCACCAUAGCAACACCCACCCGAUUUCUCUUCUAUUAUGUUAUUGACUAAGUUUGUUUAUGUGUAACUCUGUAUUGUUGUUUUUGUCACACUGCUUUGCUUUAUCUUGGCCAGGUCGCAGUUGUAAAUGAGAACUUGUUCUCAACUGGCCUACCUGGUUAAAUAAAGGUGACAUUUGUUUUUGCAUGACCCGACUGAGGAAAACAGCCGGAGGCAUGUUGAUGUCACAGACCUGCAGGGGGGCUCUCAUCAGCGUUGUUAGCGCUUGUGCAGAGGAGCUAGAUGGCUUUCCAGUUAUUCUAGUAUGUGGUGCUAAGAAUGUUGGGAAGUCCACCUUCAACCGCCGCUUCAUCAGUACCUUACUAAACCACACUGCAAGUGUAGAAUACCUGGAGUGUGACCUGGGCCAGACAGAGUUCACUCCCUCAGGUUGUCUCUCCCAGUCUACUGUUAGAGAGCCACUGCUGGAACCACGAUUACACAUGGUGGACUGGAAGAAACUUUUUCUUUUAACGAGUCCAACGAGAAGGAUAUACUGCUUUCACUGGAACAGGCACAGAUCCCCGUAAUUGGCUUGAAGAAAAGACACAGGAAAAGGGGCCGCGGAUUGGGGUGCCUUCUGAGAAUCCGUAGGCGAGCAGGUUUUGGCUUUCAGUUGCUGGUGGACAUCAUUUGCCUCUGCUCCGUCUCUCAGGUGGGGCAGCUCAGUAGUGGGGAUAAAGUCAUGUGCCCCCAACUCACCCCUGUGUUCCUGAGGCUGGCAGACACACCCUCCUGCCCAGUCAGCCCUGGGGGAGGACAACUCUGAAUCCCAUCCUCUCCAGUGGAGAUACUCUAUUCAGUAUUCACCCAGAGUUUGAAGGAGUGGGGCGCCCAAGCGAAAUGAGACACCAGUGUAGCAAUGAGCAGUGUGACCUGGCUCUGCUGGGCUACUUCAGCCAGCUGCAGUCCCCUAAACCAGGCUCCGUCAGACCCCUGCACGGCUUCACCCCCUACCAGCAGUGGCGGUGGGUGUGAUGCACUGUGAGGUAGCACCAGCUCAUGUGCUCUACGCUGCCAAUGCCAGUGGUGAGGCUGUUCUUUCUGAAUGAGAAGGUAUCAGGCAGGGGAGGCCCAGUUCUACUCUCUCAAACCCCUGUCUGUCCCUGUAUGGGAUUUGCAGGUGUCCUUUGGGGGUGUGGACACGUGGCCUGUACACCUGUAGCUCCCUCAGUCCUCCGUCAGGUCAACGGUCUUCUGUUGGGUGCUGUCACACUGCCCAACAGCCUCCUCACAGGACAGACAGGAAUUGUGGGAGAGCCUCCCUACGUCACAAUAGACUACAACUUUGAGCUAACCGGGACUGGGAAGAUUCAAGGGGCUUGCAAGACCUGACCAGAUGAAUAACGCAAAGUGAUUGUUUUUGUGAGAAGAGACUAUGGUUUCACAGCAAGAAAUCUGAAAUCUGAAUAUUUUUUACCUUCCUUGUUUACUGACUUCAAACACCAAGGCCAGAGUCUCUCUUUCCCUUGCUUUCUCUUAUCGCUCCUGUUUCAUCAGAAGUUGGAAAUAGGCCUAAAUAAAACAAUUUCAGGUCUUUUGUUUCUUCGGUGUAAGAUCUUUUCUUGUCCUGAAGAGGGCAUUUUAAGUAACCUCAUACAUUCAUACCAGAGUGGUUCAUACAGUAAAGGAGUAUAUACAAGGUUUGUUGCCUUUUGGUGCCCUGAAGAGGGCAGUGUUGUUCAGGUUUAUAUUUCAAGUUUAUCAAGCCGAGCUCGUACAGUUAGUUGUAUCGUAAAUGAGAUUUUAUAGGCUGCUGCACAAGAUUGUGUGUAUGGAUGGACACAGUUUCGGAGCAUCAUGACGAACGCACACAUUUUGUUGUCUGCGCGGACAUGUUUCAAGUUUUAUUAGUCGUAUGUACAGGACACAUGGUAUGCACCGUCCAAACUAAAUGCAUACUUGCAGGUUCCUUCUUGACAAUACAACAAUAAGAAAUAAUAAACUAAGAAUACGAACAUAAAGUAAAUGGCUCAGUAGAAUAGAAUAAACAUCUUAGCAUAAGUAUAAUACAUUAAGGCACAAUUUAAAGUCCAAUAUUUACACGUGUUUUGGGAAGGGGGAUUGGGGGCAAGUGUUUAAAUUGUGCAGUAUUUAGCAAUCAUAAGUCUGUUAGAAACAGUUGUGAUGUGUGUAGCAUGAAUGUCUGCAUUUACACAAGCAGCCAAAUGUAGAUUUUUUUCCCCCACUAAUUGGUCUUUUGACCAAUCACAUGAGAUCUUUUCACAUCAGAUUUUUUUCAGAGCUGAUCUGAUUGGUCGAAAGACCAAUUAGUUAAAAAAAAAAAAAAAUUGGUCUGCCUGUGUAAACGCAGUGUGUGUGUGUAUAUACAGUGGGGAGAACAAGUACUUGAUACACUGCCGAUUUUGCAGGUUUUCCUACUUACAAAGCAUGUAGAGGUCUGUAAUUUUUAUCAUAGGUACAUUUCAACUGUGAGAGACGGAAUCUAAAACAAAAAUCCAGAAAAUUGUAUGAUUGUAUGAUUUUUAAGUAAUUGAUAUCACAUUUACCUAAGUAUUCAGACCCUUUAGUCAAUACUGUGUUGAAGCACCUUGGCAGCAAUUACAGCCUUGGGUUUUCUUGGGUAUGACACUACAAGCUUGGCACACCUGUGUUUGGGGAGUUUCUCCCAUUCUUCUCUGCAGAUCCUCUCAAGCUCUGUCAGGUUGGAUGGGGAGCGUCGCUGCACAGCUAUUUUCAGGUCUCUCUAUAGUUGUUUAACCGGGCUCUGGCUGGCCUACUAAAGGACAUUGAGACUUGUCUCGAAGCCAGUCCUGUGUUGUCUUGGUUUGUGUGCUUAUGAUCGUUGUCCUGUGAACCUUCGCCUCAAAUCAAAGUUUAUUGGUCACAUACACAUGUUUAGCAGAUGUUAUUGUGAGUGUAGGGAAAUGCUUGUGCUUCUAGUUCCGACAGUGCAGCAAUAUCUGACAUGUCAUAUAACAAUUCCACAAUAACUACCUAAUACACACAAAUCUAAGUA